rnacentral:sRNA from 1 species
GUUUUUCUAGUAAGUUU